CAUUACAAUUUGUCAACCGACUUUAAUGGUCACUUUAUUUGUUGGUGCUGAACACUUUUAUAUCAAAGUGUACUUCGUAAUUGAUAGAACAGCUGGGAGUGUAUAGGUGCUAUUCAGGGUAACGAUUUGUGGAGAACUUGGAGGCGAUGUCUCCCAUGACCGGCCAACAUCUUAACGUCGUCAUAAUUUCUUUGCUGGGCCGGAACAUUAGCAAGAGACUCUGCCUCCCUGUGUCAUUCGUUAUCAGAUUGGACGCAGACGAAGAGCGCUGUCCUCUCUGACCUAUGACAGGCACUUGGUAGGACUUGCAAAAGGAGGGAUUCAUUGAUUCUAUCGACAAAACAGGACAAUGUCUGGCGAAGAGCCAAAGAGCGACUCCGGGGAGAAGGUCACCAGGGAUGAUCAGAUUGUGAAGACGACGCCGAUCAAGAUUGCCUCAUCUAUCCUCAUCGCCUGCGGACUGUUGGAUUGCUUUUUGGGAGCAGGGUUCGUGUUCGUCAGAGUGCGGUACCAGGCAUUCGUGCCCAUCAUCGGGUACAAUAUCUGGUGCGGACUCGUCAUUGCGAGUGCCGGGUGCGUUGGCAUAGCAGCUCUAAAGACAAUGAACAGGAAAGUCCAGAUUGCUGCGGGUGCUAUGGGACUUGCAGCCGAGCUCAUGUCCAGUUCCUUGUGCUACAACGCCAUUAAAAUUCUCUUUGAUAUGGUCGGCAGGACUGCUGAGUUUUUGGCGCUACCGGAGGCGGAGGCAAAGGCUGGAAAUACCGCUGGCCAAGGGACGACACUGGCAUCUGCGGAACCAGAGACAUUUGGUCCUAUCCUUGCCCACCAGAUGAGGGUUUUCUUAAUACUUAACUGUAUACUCGCAUGCCUCUUUAUCACUUCGCUGUGUUGUGGGAGUAGCUUGGCAUGGUAUACGCUGAGACCAUUUUGUAAAAAGAAGGUGAAGCCAGAUGAGCAACCCGAAAAGCAAUCUGUAUAAACACAAAACUAUUCCUUGCCUCAGGUCUUGAUGCGGAAUCCUGGAUGGCAGCUAAGCUAGCACUUUCUCUUGUCAGUGCUGUGAUCUCGUCAUGAUCCGCCGAGGUACUUUCAUAGGGAGACUACAUGUAGACGACAGGUGGGACAAAUAACGUCACACAAAGUCGCCGAAAGGUGUCUCUACCCGAGGGUUGCAAUCUCAAAGUGCAUCGGAUUUGAUGAUUGCCUCACAGGUUUUUGCAUUUUUUCUCAAUUACUGAAAGUGAACAUUGUGGGCUUUGGGAGCACAACAUCAUUAAACAUGAAUAAAAGCAACUGUGUAAUCCUAAUUCUCAUUAUUGACAGUUUUUCUAAGGAUUCGGAGAGACACAUAGCUAUGAUGAGAACUUGGCAUUCGCCAGUUUCCUCAAGCAGAAAUUAUUUAGGACAUCCUGUCAGGUGACAGGUUUUGACCAAUCAAAACUCCCGUAUGUGAUCAUGGCCGUACUGUCUGUGCCGAGCAAGCAUUAUAGCUCUCUUCUGAUUGGCCAGUCAAUACCUGUCAGGAUGGCUCAAAUUGCUGCUUAAGAUAAGUGGCGAAUGGAAAUUUUAGUCACAAAGACCAGUGAAACAGAUUUGAUUGUCCACAUUGAAAUAGCGUCCUAUAUCCUUAUUAUGCUGACGGUUUUAAUUACCGUACCUCACGAGUUUAUACGACAAGCGCAUACGACAAAACCUUUCUCCUGACACCAAGGAAGAUUUCCCUUUGUAUAGGCCUACCACGGGCUCUGAGAUUGUGAAAUACAAACCCAUAUUCGAGGUCAUGCCCGUGCCCACUCGCACUGUCAGAAAGUUGCUGUUUCCAAAGAAUAAUUUGCGACAUUGUAUAAGUUAUGCGCACUUGGCAAGGAAACAAGAAACGCGACAAACGUUCCAUUAUGAGGAAGAGGCCAUUGACCACAUACCAAAGAAUGCACAUUCAUACACUUAUCAUGUCUUAAUUGGCACUUUCUAAGUUCUUACUAAUGACUUAUAUCCGUCGCUGCCCCAAAUCCAAGUGUGCAGAAGCUAUCUCUGGGCGAGUAAUAGAAUUGGUGCCUAACCGAAGUGCUUUGGCACGCAAAAACCCUGACACGAAUUCUGCGACGGUAAAAUAUUUUUUUCAUGAAGGAACAAUACGACUGACGGGCAAAGAAGAAGGUAUUCGGCGCUGACUGAAAGAGACAGCGAUAUUUCUGACAACACUAUUAAGUGAUUUAUACCAAAAGCGUUUGAGAAUUUCAAUGAAAUAUUCGUGCCCUGAUAUUUUACAAAAGAAUUUGGGCUGAGCUUCGAAAAAUCAUAGGGUAUUUACUUGGUACAUUUGUGCAGUUCAGUGGAGACUUCCUGAACUAGUGGACCAAUUCUGCUUUGACAGCUUGAAGUCACAGCCACACUGUUUUGCAAGUAGCUAUUGGCAAUAUCACACACCAACUGAGUCUCACCACAGUUUGCACUCGUGCCCUUUACUGUCUUUCAGACGAGGAGAAUGCCAAGUAUACGUCUGUUCUCAGUAUAGAGCAACAAUAACAAGAUUAAUGCUUGUGCUGUAGAGAAUAAAAUGAUAAAUCCUUGCCAAAUUUAUGAAAAAAGCCUUUCUUUUCAUGAUAACUGGGUCAGCUCUGACGUUCUAGGAUAAUUCGGUAGGUUUCUGUCACAUGAUCGCGUAUGAUGACUGAGGGUGAGGUGUCUGAAUCAAUAAAUAAUCUUGCGACAUAAUUUUGAAGGCUCCUGACAAGAAAGGAUACUUCUUCAACUUCUGCCAAUUUCAUUUGAGAGAAGCUUACCAAGUCACAACCAUGACUUGGGGAACGACCAACACUAAUGAGAAGGCGCCAGUCCAGGUGUUCAGCCCGGAGUCUGGCAUUGUCGCCGUCCAGGGAGAGUACCCUCACCUUCCGAGAAAGUCCGUCCUUGCCGUCUCCAGUAUGACUCUCAUCAGCGGGGUGCUGUGCAUCCUUAUAGGAAUCGCUCAAGAAGUCAUUUCCCGGGACUGGAGGUACGUGGGAAUCUGCUGCGGGAUUCUGUUUGCCAUCACCGGUAUCUUGGGGGUCGUGUCCGUCUACAAGCGAACCAAGGGCCGCCUGAUCGCAACUGCUGUCUUGGCAAUUAUCUGCUGCUUAUCCGCGUGUUCGUUGGGGAUGAGUGCGGCGGGAGAAUUCUGCAAGGGAAGGUCUCAUGACAGGUAUAAGAGGUCAGGUCGUCAUCACGAAAGCGGUGAGACUGAUAGGCACUGGCGCGAGUACGAAAGCGGUGAGCGUGGUGGGCAUUAUAAAGCCUAUAAAGUCGUCUUUGGAAUGGACAUAGUUUUCUUCGUCAUCUCUCUGUUGGUGUUCUGUUGCGGCAUCGCCCUUGCUGUCUUCACCCUGAAGACCGUCACCUCUCCGAAGGGUAAGGACCAGAAGAGAGGACCUGUGAUGACACCAGUGGUCUCCUUCCCACCGUCCAAGGAUCCCAAUCAGCUGGACACCUACAAUGGAAACUAAAGAUCCUCUCUGAGAAAUUCUUCACCUGGAUUAUUUAGAAUAACAUACUUCACUGCAAUGGCUGCAACCAACGCCAUCGAAAUUCUCCGGAAAAUGCCAAACGAUCCGACCGAUUUCGAAGAUCGUACAACAGGAAUAUAAUGUUGUUUCCGUAAAAGACACACAAUUCGUAGAGGUCAUUUAUGACGGUAUUAAUAGUGGCUUGAAAUUCAAUAAAUAAUUUUUAAUUUAGCUGAUGGCGUUGGUCGCAACCUAUCGGACGGCGUCGAAGGAGUGCUUUGACAUGUUGAACUCUUAAUACCUUGUUGAACUAUGUGUGGCGGGUGUAUAGACGUACAAACCAUUGUCUCUCAUGAGAGUGAGAGCGGGGAAACAUAGGGAAAGCGCAUCCGAGAGGGACUGAAGUUAGCCACAAUCACGGAAAACCAGGGUGUAAAUAAAACCGCACAAACUCAGCAGUAGAACUCUUCAGACUCUUUUUACAUUUCGUGUUCCUUUCGUUUCGGUUGUGAUGGUUUUCGCAUGGGAAUUACUACAUGUAUUUCGUGAUGACUUUGGACUUAAGAAUCAGUUUCAUAAUUAGAAAAUGAUUAUGAUAGGGUUUUGGUCAGCUUAGAUUAAAAUGCGAGAAAGGACAAUUCAAAAGCGAUACAGUAUGAUAGUAUAUUGUACAUGUAGAUACAUGUGGUGUUUUAGUACAUCUUUAAUACAUCUACCUUAUAGCCUCUUUAGUAAGGACACCCGUGAGACCGACAAGUCACAGUGCUGUCCUCAGUACAGAAGUGUUCUGAUUACAGAUGUCAAAUUGUCUUGAAACUACCCAUUUGGGACAAGAUCACUGUCCCCAGCCACAAGUAUAUGUAGAUUAUUAUUUUCACUAUCCAAGUUUUUAUUUCGGUUGAGGCCAGUACAUGUUAUUAUCUCUAAUAAGAAGACCGUUAUGAAGCUUUAAUCUGUUCAUGUUCUUCAACAUAUGUAAAUACCCCGUUUGUGUGUUCACGCAUGUACAUUUUUUAGUAGCUGUGAAUAAAAUUGCAAAUUUGAAAAAAA